rnacentral:rRNA from 1 species
CCCAGCCCUACGGGGUGCAGCAGUUAGGAAUUUUCUGCAAUGUACGAAAGUAUGACAGAUUGAGUCAGAGUGCUUUUCAUAUGAAAAGCUUUUGCCAAAUGUAAAAAGUUUGGCGAAUAAGGACUGGGUAAGACGAGUGCCAGCCGCCGCGGUAAUACUCGCGGUCCAAGUCGCAGCCAUCAUUAUUGGGUCUAAAACAUCCGUAGCUUGCUUAAUAAGUUUCUUGUGAAAUUCCAUGUCUCAAAUAUGGAGCGGGCAAGAAGUACUGUUAAGCUAGAGACUGGAAGACGUAAGAAGUACGUUUGGAGUAGCGGUAAAAUGUGUUAAUCCCAGACGGACUAACAACAGCGAAGGCAUCUUACGAGGACAGUUCUGACAGUAAGGGAUGAAGGCUAGGGGCGCAAAAGGGAUUAGAUACCCCUGUAGUCCUAGCAGUAAACACUGCACACUAAACAUUAGUACCUCCUCGAGAGGUGUUAGUGCUGAAGAGAAGUCGAAGAGUGUGCUACCUGGGAAGUAUAGUCGCAAGGCUGAAACUUAAAGGAAUUGGCGGGGAGACACUACAACGGGUGGAGCCUGCGGUUUAAUCGGACUCAACGCCGGGAAUCUCACCGGAUAAGACAGCUGAAUGAUAGUCGGAGAAGACUACC